rnacentral:lncRNA from 1 species
AUCCUCUUUUACUAUACCCAAAUAUCUUUUAGGAGGAUGGGUGAUUCUACCUGAUCUACAAGGUGGAAGUGGAAUAUUAACUAUUGGCUCAUCAUUGAUGGAUUUCUAAGGAUUUAUAGCUCGUUGCUCUUCAAAGACAUUCUCGUCAAGAUCAAUUAACCUCCCACUACCACCAUCCUAAAUAAACUAUUUUUCUAGGAACAUGGUAU